rnacentral:rRNA from 1 species
GAUGAACGCUAGCUACAGGCUUAACACAUGCAAGUCGAGGGGAAACGACAUCGCAAGCUUGCUUUUGAUGGGCGUCGACCGGCGCACGGGUGAGUAACGCGUAUCCAACCUGCCCAUCACUUGGGAAUAACCUUGCGAAAGUAAGACUAAUACCCAAUGAUAUCCCACGAAGGCAUCGGAAUGGGAUUAAAGAUUUAUCGGUGAUGGAUGGGGAUGCGUCUGAUUAGCUUGUUGGCGGGGUAACGGCCCACCAAGGCAACGAUCAGUAGGGGUUCUGAGAGGAAGGCCCCCCACAUUGGAACUGAGACACGGUCAAAACUCCUACGGGAGGCAGCAGUGAGGAAUAUUGGUCAAUGGGAGAGAGCCUGAACCAGCCAAGUAGCGUGCAGGAAGACGGCCCUAUGGGUUGUAAACUGCUUUUAUAAGGGAAUAAAGUGGGUAACGUGUGACUUUUUGCAUGUACCUUAUGAAUAAGGACCGGCUAAUUCCGUG